rnacentral:rRNA from 1 species
ACCCUACGGGAGGCAGCAGUGGGGAAUUUUGCGCAAUGGGGGAAACCCUGACGCAGCAACGCCGCGUGGAGGAUGAAGUCCUUCGGGACGUAAACUCCUUUCGAUCGGGACGAUUAUGACGGUACCGGAAGAAGAAGCCCCGGCUAACUUCGUGCCAGCAGCCGCGGUAAUACGAGGGGGGCGAGCGUUGUUCGGAAUUAUUGGGCGUAAAGGGUGCGUAGGCGGUUUGGUAAGUCUGAUGUGAAAUCUAUGGGCUCAACUCAUAGUCUGCAUCGGAAACUGCCGGGCUUGAGUAUGGGAGAGGUGAGUGGAAUUCCUGGUGUAGCGGUGAAAUGCGUAGAUAUCAGGAGGAACACCUGUGGCGAAAGCGGCUCACUGGACCAUAACUGACGCUGAUGCACGAAAGCUAGGGGAGCAAACAGGAUUAGAUACCCUGGUAGUC